GCUGGGCAUAGUGGUGCAUGCCUGUAAUCCCAGACUUGUUGGGAGGCUGAGGCAGGAGGGUCACAAGUAUGAGGCCUGAAACAACUUAGUGAGACCUUGUCUCAA
rnacentral:sRNA from 1 species